rnacentral:misc_RNA from 1 species
UCUCAUAAUUAAAUCGUGGUUUUGGGCGUUAAACCCCAACAAUUAUUAUUAUUAUUAUUAUCUUCACAAUGACAGCCAAGAACUCGGUUAUGGGUGGUUUCAGUUCCCGGGCCUAAUCGGUCGAACUGAAUGAGGUCGUGCCGGACAGAGAUAAUCUUUCGGGCCCAAGUCGGGUACGGGACCGAUUCCGGAAUAACCGGUACAAAAAAAGAAGGAAAUACGGCGCCUGCAGCGCUCAAUAGGGGAGCACGCGCCACGCCGCAUUUCGAAGACAGAGAAGAAGAAGAAAGCCGAGGUUGCGGCGUAGGCUCGUUCGUUGUCCUGCUGCAGCAACUUGAGCGACCCCGCCUUGCAGUCUUCUGUACAGAAAGGGACCACCUCAACUGAGCAUGGCGACCGAUCAAGCGACUCCGGUGGCGUCGUCGUAUGAACACUGGAACAACGUCGUGGGCGGUGCUGAGAACGUGGAGCCAGACGCGCCCCCGCUGGCCGUGGACUCCACGCAGCUACCGAAGCGGCGAGCGCGUCGUCGCGGUUUUCGUAUGCGUGGCGGAGACGAAAAGCCACAAGGUACGGGCCACCGGAGGCACACUCACGGCACGCACUACUUCUCGUUCGCAAGGUUCGCAAGCAGACACAGCGACGCUGAGCAUGCAGGAUCUAUCGGCUCCGCCGCGCAGCUGCAACACGAUCGCGGCGGGAAGCUGGAGGCGCCACUGUUCAGCGCCUUGUUCCUGCUCACGAGCCUGCUCUUCCUGGUGUCGCUCCUCAGCCUCUACUAUUCCAUCGCCUUCAGUCAUCUUCGGCGAUGGUUGAGGCUCACUGAGGAGUACGACGACUGUCGAACGAAGUUCUGCUGCAUCUUCAGUGCCCGUGUGAAAAGUGUGCGCAACGAAUCCACCAAUCUCUGCGAGGACAUCUACACGCCCUUGUGUUCCACCGUGAAUGUUACUUGCCCGGACGCCGAGAUUACAACCCGGCACCAUCCGUGGAGCGUGUCGCUGGUGCUGACCAAACGGCUUCUAGGACUGGCUGAGGUUCUGCGUUCGCCAGAAGCGCUGAAGAAUCCGGCAAGCAACGCUUCCGCGUUCCUCUUUCGCUCCUGCCUUGCCAGAGGUCAGCGCCUUUCUGUGCAUAACGACGUGCGACGGCUCUUGUCUUCCGUCGGCCUGUCCAGUUGGCCCCUGUGGGAGAACCAGUCGGCCGACGUGGCCUUCGCGCUCACGGCGCUUCUGCGAGACUUCGCCGCACCUUUCGUCGUGACGCUAUCCGUCGGGAACUCAAUCAUGAACUCUGACGCACUGAGCAUUUAUCUGGACGCGCCGGAGCUGUUACUCGGUCCAACGUCAUGGCAGCUGACUAUUACCACCGACGAGACCGACCACGAUGCCAAGGAGAAUCAGCAGCAUGUGUACGAGAAAUACGCACUGGCCAUCUUGUACGAAGUGCUGCCGGAUGACGCUAGCAGUGGCGCGCUGUCUCGACUCGCCACGGAGCUCUACGCCUUCGAGCAGGCCCUGACUGCCCACAUUCCCCGCGGCUCGACUUACGUCGAUCGCGUAGUGGUGCGCCUGGCUCACCUACAAGACAGCUACGAUCUGGCCCUGUGGAGUGGCAUACUCCAUUGGCGUGCUUCGACAACCUAGAGCAGUCAACCCUUAAGUUGGUCCCCGUCGUGCUUUUUAGCCGUUACUACCUGGCCUUCCUCUACGACCUGCUGUGGAAAAGGUCCGUGGUGCUGGCCAACUACCUCGGGUGGCGCCUGGUCGAGUACGUCGCUUGGUCCUGUUCAGCAUCACUGCGCGACCAUCGACGCCGGUUUCGCGAUUCGGUUCGCCCGUUCAAGCUCACCACAGAGACUGCGG